UUUAACCAAUUAGGGAUGCAGUAGCUUUUUAAAUGACAGGAAGUCCAUGUCUUGUUAUUCUGGCGUUUCUAUUCGGUUUUUAGCAAUACAGUUGUUUCGCUAGCAAAAUACAACGAAGCACACGCGAACAUUGCAAAACUUUUAACACGAACUUGUACACAUACUGUCUAGUUGUGGGAGUGUUGACAUGGCUAAAGGCAAGUAGGGAAACUUAUGAGUAGUAAAGUCGAGACAAGGCUGUUUAGAGGUAAAGUUAACUUGACAACGACGUUACUCCUUAGUCAAAUGAGGGACGCAGAUUGCUAUCAGCUAGCUAGUUAUCAUAGACGUCGAUGGAUAUACUGUGGAUAUGGUAGGCUAUUAAAGCUUACCUCCUGACAUGUUUGCCUUCAAUAGGGGAAAAAAAGUACUGACUACCAACAAUAGUCCUGAGGAAACCCUUCAGGUCUAAAAGAAGACAAAGGAAAAUAAACCAAAAAUGAAUGGGGAUGCAGGUAAUUGUCAGCCUACUAUACAAAGUCUUCGGAGUCCCAGCAAACCCAGAUCUCCUCUGUGUGACUACUCAAGUUCUGUCAUCCAAGCGGAAAAUGUGCCUGAGAAAUGUGCUCUUUAAACUGAGCCAUCAAAAGAAAGGGAAAGGGAGACUGGUACCCAGAGAGACAACUACCCUGCAUGUCCAGGAGGAGGAUCUAAAAAAAAAAUCACACCAACCCAACUGUACCAGAUGGCAAUAUCACCAAGCCCAAAACUGAGAAGGGGGCUAGUCAAAAAAGCAGAAAGCAAUGCUGCCCAAAACAGGAAGGUCACAGAUUAUCCUAUUAGACGGAGUUCCAGAAAAAGCAAAGCUGAAUUGAAGUUUCCACUCUGGGGAUUGCAUUGGAUUAUGCCAUAUUCGUCAUCCUGGUUAGGAUGAUAAUGUUUAUUUACUCAUUAAACACCACACUCUGCCAACAGUACGAAGAACACAGACACCUUGAUUACCUGAUAAUGAGUUGAAGGACUGCAGGUUAGUUUAGAAAUUAAAGUAACAUUGUACUGAAAUGGAUCAUUUAACCUGGAAUUUGAUUUGACCUGUACUUGAACCCCAAUAGGCCAAACAUAUAGAGGGGAAGGGAAGAGGAGUAUUUGCUGUCAGAUGUUUCAAGAAGGGGAAGUUUGUAAUUGAGUAUCAUGGAGACUUGUUGCAUUUGACUGAUGCCAAGGAGAGAGGGGCUCUGUAUGCCCAAGACCCCAGGACUGGCUGUUACAUGUACUAUUUCCAGUAUCUCAGCAAAACAUACUGGUAUCUACUCAAACUUCAUUUAAAAUUUGUAUUAACUAUGACUUAUGCAUUGCCACAAUGUAGAUGUUAUCAGCUUGCUCAUGGAUGUUUUAAAACCUGUAAUUUCCUCUUUACAUUGUGGAUGCUACAAAAGAAUCAACUCGCCUGGGAAGGCUGCUAAACCACAGUUAAACUGGCAACUGCCAGACCAAACUCCAUGACAUAGAUGAAAUACCUCAUCUCAUACUGGUGGCUUCCAGGGACAUUGAGUCAGAGGAAGAGCUGCUUUAUGACCAUGGUGACCGCAGCAAGGAAUCCAUCUCGGCUCACCCUUGGCUCAAAUACUGAUGUGCUGUUUUUACACCACCAGAGUAUUCAAGAAAAUUACUAGGUGCAUUUGAUUAAAGCUUUUUUUUUUUACAAUUUCCUUGGCCCUGAACUGCAAACUUGGCAUUCCAGGUGAGACAAAUUAAGUGCACCUUUUGUUUAUUUUUAAUCUGCCCUUUCAAGUAAUGUAUUUGGGCAAAACUGUGGCAGAAUGAACAAUAUUGAAGACAACCUUCAAGAUGACACAUGGGUCAAUUUCUUAAAACUGUAUAUCAAUUUAUUGCUGGAUUUGGGGGUAGUUUUUAUACAUUUUUAGGCCUGUGCUUCCAAGAAGAUGAAUAAUAUUUUGUAACAUUAGCUAUUUUUUAAACACUUUUUAUAUUCGUGCUAAUUUAUAAUGCUAGGUAUGGUUCUAGUUGAAGCAACAAUUUUCAUAUGAUCGUCAAUGCUCUCCAGGAUUCUGGGACAUCAGCUUAUACUUGAUUUAAAAUGUAUGUAUUUUGCAAUGGGUGAAAUCCUAAUACAUUUUUAACAAUUUACAAAGUAUGUUGCUCUUUGAGAGUAAAUUAAGUCUACAGACAAAUCUGUUCAGCAAUCUGGCUAGCAUGGAAGCUCAUUUUGCAAUGAAUAGAAAAGCUAGCUUGGCCUUUGACAAUGUACCAAUUAAUAUUCACAGACAUGUAACAGUCCAGCAUCCUCCCUGUAGGUCAGUGUAUUUCAAAAUGUGCAACAAAUGAAGUGAUUUGUAACUUCAUAAUUCUAAACUGCUUUCUUUACAGCUGCUCUAUUAUUUGAAAGAUAAAAUGGACUUUAAAAAAGCCCUCGUGUGAACUAGCGUGAAAUAGUUAUGGUCAGUCACUCAGAGCCUAAAAUGUCAAUUAUUAUGCAAUUUCGGGACAAUUUUGCAAACCCUUUUAUAUUUGCUACAAGAGACUAUAUAUUGAUCUAAUCCACAAAUCUUUUUGGGAGGGAUUCAUUACCAUGAUCUGUGCUACUCAACCCCCAGGUAGAGGCAGAUUAUGCUGAUGGGAUUCAGGUAUAGUGAAUCUGGGGCAGUAUAGUGGUCGUGGGGCUCGAUUCCAUCAGUAUUGCUGAAGUUCAGAGUUAAAAAGCCAUUUCAUAUUGAACUGACAUGCAGCGUUUGCCUUAAUGUUGAUUGCAUCUCUUUAGCACUAUAGAUGGAAUCAAGCCCUUGGAGGUCCUGUCUUUGUCUCUACUAGGGCUACUGUUGCAACCUGUCUUGAACUUUGGUCUUUGAAGGGUUCCAUCGUCACAAUGUUCAACCACGUGUCCAAAGGAACUGUUACAGUUCCUUUGUUUGAGGACACAGUUGUGAGUCUGUACCAAUGAUGUAUAUAAACCCUGGAUUGCUAAUGCUAUAUUUUCACCAUUGUGGAGGUUUUGAAGCCAACAGUAUUUCAAUUAAAAUGUUAAGGAAAAACAUUUGUUGUGGGGACAGUAAGUCAUCUCAAUACUUUAUUUUUGUUUAGCUCAUAAUUUAAAAGUAUACAUUGGUGUUUAAUAGAAUAAAUGUGCCAAACUAA